rnacentral:rRNA from 1 species
AACGAACGCUGGCGGCAGGCUUAACACAUGCAAGUCGAGCGCCCCGCAAGGGGAGCGGCAGACGGGUGAGUAACGCGUGGGAACGUACCUUUUGGUUCGGAACAACUCCGGCAAACUGGAGCUAAUACCGGAUAAGCCCUAACGGGGAAAGAUUUAUCGCCGAAAGAUCGGCCCGCGUCUGAUUAGCUAGUUGGUGAGGUAACGGCUCACCAAGGCGACGAUCAGUAGCUGGUCUGAGAGGAUGAUCAGCCACACUGGGACUGAGACACGGCCCAGACUCCUACGGGAGGCAGCAGUGGGGAAUAUUGGACAAUGGGCGCAAGCCUGAUCCAGCCAUGCCGCGUGAGUGAUGAAGGCCUUAGGGUUGUAAAGCUCUUUUGUCCGGGAAGAUAAUGACUGUACCGGAAGAAUAAGCCCCGGCUAACUUCGUG